CAGUAGCCGCGGUAAUACGGAGGGUGCAAGCGUUAAUCGGGAUUACUGGGCGUAAAGCGCACGCUGGCGGUUUGUUAAGUCAGAUGUGAAAUCCCCGGGCUCAACCCCGGAACUGCAUCCGAUACUGCCGUGCUAGAGGAUUGGAGAGGUAGCUGGAAUUCUUGGUGUAGCAGUGAAAUGCGUGGAGAUCAAGAGGAACACUCGUGGCGAAAGCGAGCUACUGGACAAUAUCUGACGCUGAGGCUCGAAGGCCAGGGUAGCGAAAGGGAUUAGAUACCCCGGUAGUCCCUGUCUCUUAUAC
rnacentral:rRNA from 1 species